rnacentral:rRNA from 1 species
GUCCUUUAGAAUUUAAUUAAAGGUCUGACCUGCCCGGUGAUUAAUUUAACGGCCGCGGUAUACUGACCGUGCAAAGGUAGCAUAAUCAUUAGUCUUUUAAUAGAAGGCUGGAAUGAAAGGUUUAACGAGGAAUUGACUGUCUCAUUUUAUUUGUUUUAAAAUUUAAUUUUUUAGUCAAAAAGCUAAAAUUUUAUUGGAAGACGAGAAGACCCUAUAGAUCUUUAUAUAAUUUUAUUUAUUUAUUCUUAUAUCAAUAUAUUUAUUUAAAAUUUUAUUUUGUUGGGGUGAUAAAAAUAUAUAAUAAACUUUUUUAUUUAUUUAACAUUGAUUAAUGAUUAAAUGAUCCAUUAUUAGUGAUUAUUAGAUUAAGUUACCUUAGGGAUAACAGCGUAAUCCCCCUCCAGAGUUCAUAUUUACAGGGUGGGCUUGCGACCUCGAUGUUGGAUUAAGAUAAUAAUUAGGUGCAGCUACUUAAUUUAUAGGUCUGUUCGACCUUUAAAUUCUU